rfam:Ficedula albicollis isolate OC2 chromosome 2, whole genome shotgun sequence.
CCUCUUGCUCCUCCCUGGCAGCAGGAGCCUGGCACAUCCCAGGAGGGACCAGAGCAGGGACAGAGCAGCUUGGGGUGACUGGGCUGGAACCGCCUGGUCUGGGUGUCCUGAGGGAGCUCAGAGGGGACAGAAACCUCCCAUGGAGCACGAGGGCAGAAGCUCUCUCAGUGUCCAUUUCCAGUACAAAUACAGCCCAUGAAAGCCUCAUGAUUCUUCUGCCUUUUGGUGUUUUAAGCAGGAGGUGCCAGGAAAGUUUCCAGGGAAUGACUGGCUUGUGGCAGCCAAGUGUUCACAGCAAUGUUGCCUUUUGAUCCUUCCAAAUUGGCUCUUCUAUCAUUGGGAAGCAGAAUUCAUCAAGCAUUGGAUUGGUGACCUGUGAUAGGGGAUGUGAGCUGGGGUUAGAUCUUUGUGAGGCAGGGU